GAGCAGAGAGGCUGGAUUUGCCUGUGUCCUCAGGAGAGCUGGAGAGAAAGGAAGAGAAGGUGGAAUCCUUAAAGCAUGAGGGGAAAUGAGACACCGGUUUGGCCUCCACAGCCAGAGCACUUUCUCCUGAAGCACCAGGCUGGAUGGAGAUCCAUGGUGCAGGUGUAUUCUGAAGGACUGUGUUAAAAAUCAUAAAGGCAAAGGCAUACUUACUCCUGUUACGGCUCUGUUCUUACCAUGCCUGCUUGAAAAGCUCAUAAACAGCAGAGCGACACACAAUAAGAGAAAGAGGAGAAAGGUGGACAGAGUGAGGUGGCGAGGAUGGAUCUGGGGAGAUGAAUGACCCAGGAAAUGAAUGGCCUUUACCACACCAAGAACAGCGACCCAGCACAAGCUGUGAUUUGCCUGCUAAAGCACUGCUUUCUCCUGCUGAUAUAUAAAUUGUAUGUUGCUUUCUUUUAA